rnacentral:rRNA from 1 species
GGGUGCGAUCAUACCAACGUUAAUGCACCAGAUCCCAUCAGAACUCCGCAAUUAAGUGCGCUUGGGCUGGAGUAGUACUGGGAUGGGUGACCUCCCGGGAAGUCCUAGUGUUGCACCCU